GAAAGGCUUUGAUAGAGACAAGUGUUCAAGUCCCAACUAGACAUUUACAAAAUGUAAAUUAUAAGUGUUUGUAAAACUAAAACUAUGUGUACAAUGUUGUGUAAUUUCUUAAAUUAUGUCUUUCCCCUACAGAACAAGAGAUGUGUUUGGACCACACAGAGCUCUGGGAUGUGUGGACAGACAUUCGCUGUAAUGAAGGACAUCUGCUUAUGGACAGAAGCAUAACCACUGCUGGACAUCGCUCUGGGACUCAGGGGGGGACCCGAAUCAUCCUCACCCCUUCAUUCAUACAACACUCACUCAUAUCGCAGAGCUCUGGCUGGGAUUGAACCAGCAACCUCUGAACCAUGAGGCAGCGCUCUUACCAGUGAGCCACAGAUCUCUUAUCUGGAUGCGUGAAGGAACAUAGAUUUCACUAUUCACCUGUGAUUUUGCAAUAAACCAGUUAAAGCUUUGGCCAAGUCUCUCCUAUUUCAUGCCCACUCCUUCGUGUCACAGGAAUCUGGCUGGGAUCAAACCAGCAACCUCUGAACCAUGAGGCAGUGCUCUUACCAGCGAGCCACAGAUUGAUUGAUUGAUUGAUUGAUUGCUUGAUUGCCUGCCUGCCCUUAUAUUUCACUGUUCAACCAGCAACCUCUCACCCGUGAGGUAGCACUCUUACCAGUGAGCCACAGAUCUCUUGUCUCAAUGUGUUAUAUAACCACUCACCUGUGAAAUAAACCAGUUAAAUUUUGACAUGCUGAGGUGGGAUUUGAAUCCUUGUCUGGAUCGCAGCCUUCACUUCCAAGCACAUGUAUUUAGCUAUAUGAUGACAAUUUAACACAAGCAAUAGUGGGAUUCGAACUCAGGUCUCCAAGAUUAAAAAUGUGAUGUUUCACCCCCUGAGCCACUGAGUUUGUAAGUUUGUUUCAGGGGUAUUUUUGAUGUUAUGUUUAGUUACAGCAUUAAUUAAAGCUGCCAACAUACCAUAGAUUCCACUGUCCGUAAGUAACAGCUGGAUUUGAACUCAGGUCUCCAAGAUAUAAACACAACCUUUAAUCCUCUGAGACACCGACUCUGUAGAUUUCAACUGUUUUGACCUUGAUAUUCUUGAGAACCUUGUGUCAUAUGAUGAAAAAUGUAGCUUACAUCGUUAAAACAGAAAAGAGUUUAUUGCACUUGUAAAAUUUGAACAUCUGUGUUGUAGUUUUGUUUUUCAAAGACCCGCAUUUAAACCACACCAUUAUGAAUGUUUUUUUUUUUUUGUAGUGGGAUCUCAGCAAAUGCAAAAACACAAGACUAGUGCUCUUACCAGCGAGCCACAGAUUGAUUGAUUGAUUGAUUGCUUAAUUGCCUGCCUGCCUGCCCUUAUAUUUCACUGUUCAAUCAGCAACCUCUCACCCGUGAGGUAGCACUCUUACCAGUGAGCCACAGAUCUCUUGUCUCAAUGUGUUAAAUAGCUUAUAUUUCACCACUCACCUGUGAAAUAAACCAGUUAAAUUUUGACAUGCUGAGGUGGGAUUUGAAUCCUUGUCUGGAUCGCAGCCUUCACUUCCAAGCACAUGUAUUUAGCUAUAUGAUGACAAUUUAACACAAGCAAUAGUGGGAUUCGAACUCAGGUCUCCAAGAUUAAAAAUGCAAUGUUUUACCUCCUGAGCCAUUGAGUUUGUAAUGCUGUUUGCAAGUUUGUUUCAGGGGUCUUUUUGAUGUUAUGUUUAGUUACAGCAUUAAUUAAAGCUGCCAACAUACCAUAGAUUCCACUGUCCGUAAGUAACAGCUGGAUUUGAACUCAGGUCUCCAAGAUAUAAACACAACCUUUAAUCCUCUGAGACACCGACUCUGUAGAUUUCAACUGUAAAUGAAUGUAAUUUCUAUUGGUUAUAAUGUUGGCUUUUGUUAUGCACUUAUUUACAGCAAUUGAUUUAUACAUGUGUAAUAAACUGAAAAGCAUGUUGUACUUGUAUAGUCUCCAC
rnacentral:lncRNA from 1 species